UGCAGAGGAGUACACAGUAUGAUGGCUA
rnacentral:piRNA from 1 species